GGGGAUGACAAGUUUCGAUAAGGGUUAUUCUUGCCGAUUUGCAAGUAGAGAUGCAGAACCUCUUAAAACUUCUGCACAUCAAAUAAGUGCAAACAAACAACCUGCACUAGCUUACGCCUAAUUAAGCUGUAAGCCAUCGCCGCGCCUACGCCCGUGAUAGCGCGCGCGGUGCCAACUUUACGGGCUCGCUUAUUGCAUUGUUCGAUGUAAUACGUUAAAACAUAGAACUCGGCUCUUCAGUAUUUUGGAUAUUUUUAAGCUUAAGAGCUUAAAUGUUAAAAUAACCUAAACUUGUAGAGUAAUCGCGUAAGAUAUCCUUAGACGCGGGUUCAACUCCCGCCAUCUCCACCU
rnacentral:tmRNA from 1 species